CCGUCACUCUGGCGCUCGCCCGGUGCUGACGGAGCCAAUGAGGGGCGCGCGGGGGGACGUUCUCUGCCGCCCCCGCUCGGAGCCGCAGGCACCAGGCUGCAGCGUAACAUUCAUGUUUUGCUCCAGAUCAUUCCAUCCUUCCAGGGACCAGGGAAGGGAAAUGACUGCAGUGGAGCCAGUUGAGGGACCAGUGACCUUCGAGGAGGUGGCUGUGUAUUUCACCAA